CACAUGCAAGUCGUGCGAGAAAGUAUCUUCGGAUAUGAGUAGAGCGGCGGACGGGUGAGUAACGCGUAGGAAUCUACCUAGUAGAAGGGGAUAGCCCGGGGAAACCCGGAUUAAUACCGUAUACCUCCUUCGGGAGAAAGAAGGCCUCUCUUUGAAGCUUUCGCUACUAGAUGAGCCUGCGUAAGAUUAGCUUGUUGGUGAGGUAAAGGCUCACCAAGGCGACGAUCUUUAGCUGGUCUGAGAGGACGAUCAGCCACAUUGGGACUGAGACACGGCCCAGACUCCUACGGGAGGCAGCAGUGGGGAAUAUUGGACAAUGGGCGCAAGCCUGAUCCAGCCAUACCGCGUGUGUGAAGAAGGCCUUCGGGUUGUAAAGCACUUUAAGCAGGGAGAAAAAGUUAUAAGUUAAUACCUUAUAACCCUGAUGUUACCUGCAGAAUAAGCACCG
rnacentral:rRNA from 1 species